UGCUUGCACUAUCACUUAGCGGCGGACGGGUGAGUAAUGCUUAGGAAUCUGCCUAUUAGUGGGGGACAACAUCUCGAAAGGGAUGCUAAUACCGCAUACGUCCUACGGGAGAAAGCAGGGGAUCACUUGUGACCUUGCGCUAAUAGAUGAGCCUAAGUCGGAUUAGCUAGUUGGUGGGGUAAAGGCCUACCAAGGCGACGAUCUGUAGCGGGUCUGAGAGGAUGAUCCGCCACACUGGGACUGAGACACGGCCCAGACUCCUACGGGAGGCAGCAGUGGGGAAUAUUGGACAAUGGGGGGAACCCUGAUCCAGCCAUGCCGCGUGUGUGAAGAAGGCCUUAUGGUUGUAAAGCACUUUAAGCGAGGAGGAGGCUCUUUUGGUUAAUACCCAAGAUGAGUGGACGUUACUCGCAGAAUAAGCACCGGCUAACUCUGUGCCAGCAGCCGCGGUAAUACAGAGGGUGCAAGCGUUAAUCGGAUUUACUGGGCGUAAAGCGCGCGUAGGCGGCCAAUUAAGUCAAAUGUGAAAUCCCCGAGCUUAACUUGGGAAUUGCAUUCGAUACUGGUUGGCUAGAGUGUGGGAGAGGAUGGUAGAAUUCCAGGUGUAGCGGUGAAAUGCGUAGAGAUCUGGAGGAAUACCGAUGGCGAAGGCAGCCAUCUGGCCUAACACUGACGCUGAGGUGCGAAAGCAUGGGGAGCAAACAGGANNNNNNNCCCUGGUAGUCCAUGNNGUAAACGAUGUCUACUAGCCGUUGGGGCCUUUGAGGCCUUUAGUGGCGCAGCUAA
rnacentral:rRNA from 1 species